rnacentral:rRNA from 1 species
AUUGAACGCUGGCGGCAUGCCUAACACAUGCAAGUCGGGCGAGCGGCGGACGGGUGAGUAAUGUAUGGGGAUCUGCCCGAUGGAGGGGGAUUACUCCUGGAAAAGGUAGCUCAUACCGCAUACUAUCAGUUGAGCCCUUAUGUGAUUAUCUGGUUGGUAGGGUAACGGGGUACCUAGGCAACGAUCCCUAGCUGGGCUGAGAGGAUGAUCAGCCAACCUGGGACGGAGACACGGCCCAGACUCCUACGGUAGGCAGCAGGGGGGAAUAUUGGACAAUGGGGGAAAGGCUGAUACAGCCAUGCCGCGUGUAUGAAGAAGGCCUUCGGGUUGUAAAGUUCUUUCAGUCGUGAGGCGUUACCGGCAGAAGAAGCACCGGCUAACUCCGUGCCAGCAGCCGCGGUAAUUC